rnacentral:rRNA from 1 species
GACGAACGCUGGCGGCGUGCUUAACACAUGCAAGUCGAACGGUGAAGCUCCAGCUUGCUGGAGUGGAUCAGUGGCGAACGGGUGAGUAACACGUGAGCAACCUGCCCCUGACUCUGGAAUAAGCGCUGGAAACGGCGUCUAAUACUGGAUACGAGAAGGGUCUGCAUGGGCACUUUCUGGAAAGUUUUUCGGUUGGGGAUGGGCUCGCGGCCUAUCAGCUUGUUGGUGAGGUAAUGGCUCACCAAGGCGACGACGGGUAGCCGGCCUGAGAGGGCGACCGGCCACACUGGGACUGAGACACGGCCCAGACUCCUACGGGAGGCAGCAGUGGGGAAUAUUGCACAAUGGGCGAAAGCCUGAUGCAGCGACGCCGCGUGAGGGAUGACGGCCUUCGGGUUGUAAACCUCUUUCAGCAGGGAAGAAGCGAAAGUGACGGUACCUGCAGAAGAAGCACCGGCUAACUACGUG